UCUCAUUAUCUACUGUUACCCUAUCCUCUCCAAAAUUCCCCUCAAAUUCUCUAAACGUGAACUCGAGAUCGCGCUGAUUAAGAGCCUGUGCUUUCUCAAAUUCAUUGACGUCAAAGGAGAAGAUCCGAUGCCGGAGCGACUCGUCAUGAGGAUCCACGUACAGUAGCAAGCUUCAAAUACUUGGGAGCAUUUUGCACGGUUGACAGAGGACUACGACUUGUAUUUCCAGGUAUAACUCCUCGCAAUGAGUUGUUAGUGCAAAAUAAAGUGAAUCAUAUGGAUAUAUAUGUGGAGCAUAGGCAUGAAAUACUUGGGAGUAUUGAGUUAGAUGAUGAAGUAGAUGGGUGCAUCACUCAAGACCAAACAACAAAAAGCUACAGUGAGAACGUCCAUAAUGUGAACAAUGUUGAGAAUGUGUUUAGAGAGGGGAAAUUAAACGAGGGAAAAGAGAAGAUUGCUGGAGAUAUUGAAGACAAUGAUAAUUUUUUAGAUUAUACUACUGAUGACAGUGAGGGUUUUUAAGAUAUAUAUUAAAUUUGUAGGGGAAAAAGAUUUAGUCCCUGCAAGAGUUCCUGACUCUGAUACGGAAUGUAGUGAUGAUUUGCACAGUUUGCACUGUUCGGAUGAGGAUGAUAAUAGCAAUUCAAGAACUUAAUGGCGUGAAUUUGAAGAACAUAAAGACCUAACUGAACCCAAGCUUGAAAUUGGCAUGCGCUUCGCAAAUACAAGGGAGUUUAGAAACCUAUUGAAAUACCAUGCAAUUGCAGAAGGAUUUGAUGUUGUGUAGAAAUGAAGGGACUAGGUUCUCUAUUUUCUGCAAGAAAGAAGGUUGCCCUUGGAGAUGUUGAGGUUCAUGGAAGAAUUCAGACCACACUAAGUGGUAAAUCAAGUCUUUAACGGAUAUAACACACUUCUCCCAAGAGUUUUUGUGAAUAAGCAAGCUACUUCUAACUGGCUUGCUAAAUGGUACAUUUUGGAUAUUAGAAACCUUACAAGGCUUACAGAUCAAGAAAGAAGGCGAUCGAAAUCAUUGUGAAUAAGGAAAGGGACCACUUCAAUUGAAAGUUGUCAACAACGUGAAAGGUCAUUUACACAAAAUGCUCAAAAGGAUCAAGUCAUGAGAGGGUUGAAGGUGGUGCACAAGAUGCUAAUAAGAUUGGUCAAAUUAAUUGUUCCCAUGGUAAACAAACCCCACUGGAACAAGCAUUGCAUGCACAAGAAUCAUCUGUGAGGAGAAAAAAGUUUGCACCGAGAAAGAUCAAUGCAAGGCUACCUCAUCUAUUUCUCAAGGCAGGAAAAUCAGUAUGGGUCCGAUUACUACUGCUGAAGGGGGGUAUAAAGGCAAUGGUGGUUUGUUAGGGAAGAAAACACAAAGAAUGUAAGGUAGUAGACCUUUUCACUCAAGUCAUUCCUCAUAGGCUACAUCUCCUAAUAAUGCCACUACACAAGCAAGCCAACCAAAUUUAGCUCAAGGGAGAUUUUUUUUCCAGCAAUCUCUUAGUCAAUCAGAAGGCAAAAGUUGCCUACUAGAAAAGGCCCCACUCCAUUGUUAAGCCCCCACACCAAAUAUUUUCCCAAAUUUGACAAAACUCGUAAUACAAAUUCUUGAUGAUCAACUUGGAGCUAUAUCAGCUCAGAAUGAAGAUAAGAAUGGUGAAGGAAAGAAUAGUGGAGCACUACAGUCAAAUGCAUGGAGCUAUGACAGCAACACAUUUUGUAUUUUGUAUGGUUUUACUUCACUUUGGAAAUGUUUCAGUCACAUGAGGUGUUGUUGCCUCCGGUUAAAUUUCUUUUGUAAACUCAGAUAUUUGUCUAUGGAUUCUCAUGUGUUUAAACAUUGUGCAUGGAUGCACUAUGGUUUGGCUGUAUUAUAUUUGGUGAAUUUGGAUGGUUAUAUUGCUGUUA